rfam:Dipodomys ordii contig_20874, whole genome shotgun sequence.
GGGAAUGUGGCUUAGUGGUAGAGUGCUUGCCUUGCAUGCAUGAAGCCCUGGGUUCAAUUCCUCAGCACCA